AGUCGUAACAGAGUUUCCGUAAGUGAACCUGUGGAGGAUCAUUAACACGUAUUCAAACGUGAAAACCUCUCCCGUGAACAUUCAUCCUGCUCUUGUAACCCGCGAAGCUUGCAAUCCCUGGUACAAAAAAUGUAGUUUUGAUUCAGAGACAGCAGUCAGAGUCUGAAAGUGUCAUUGAUUGUGCAGGGAUAAGAUAACGCUUCACGAUGCUUGUAGACCGCAUCUCGCGGGCAAGUCUCCAUGCCCCCUUACAACCCCACAGUAUAAUAUGUAAUACAUUGGGUAAAAAACCGAACAACUGUGAACAAUGAAUAUCUUUCUUUUC
rnacentral:misc_RNA from 1 species